AAAAGUUUGAGAAAACUGCUGUAAAGGGAACAGAGCACAGUCAACCUGCGUAACUCUUUGCCAAAGGUAGCUGUGAAGGUAAGAUUAUACCAGGGUUCAAAAAGAACUAGAUCAGAUCAUGGAGGAUAGGUCCAUCAGUGGCUAUAUUAGCUAGGAUGGGCAGGGAUGCAAAACCAUGCUCUGAAGUGUCCCAGCCUCUGCCAGAAGCUGGGAAUGGGUGAUGGGAUGGAUCACUUGAUGAUUCCCUGUUCUGUUCAUUCCCUCGGGGGCACCUGGAACUGGCCACUGUCAGACAGGAAACUGGGCUAGAUGGACCUUUGAUCUGACCUGGUGUGGCCGUUCUUAUGUUCUAACAGGGAUGAGUAAUGAGACUAGGAAUUGGUAAAGGAAUGGGCGAUAUUGAAAAAAGGGAGGGAGUUGAAGAACGAACCAGUUAGCAAGGAGAAAAGAGUGUCAGAAAUCAACACCUAAGAAAAUGGUCUGUCCAAAAGUUCCAGAGGCCCUAUUGAUGCUCACGCUGCAUUGCCCCCCGGUGCUGUUGGGGAGAGGAGGAGUCUUUUGGCUGGACUUUGUCUCCCCCAGACCUGGGGGUGGGAGGGGGCCUCCCUGUCGGUCCAGGAUGGUUGUGGGGGGGAGCCCCAGCUACUGCUAAUCGUGUUUGCACCAAGAAGGGGAUAGGUGCACAAUAGUGAAAUAGUAUGUCAUCGUAUAAGCCAGUGAGAUGCUUCCAUUGCUCAGUUCUGGUCCCCCAUCUCAGAUGGGAUCUAGCAGAUAUAGUGAGGAGGCCUAGAGAAAGGCAGUGACACUACUUAGAGGCCUGAAGAGCAUGAAAAGAUUAGGACUGUUUUAGGUUAGAAAUGAGAUAGGGCAUACACAGGAAACAAAACAAUGAAUGAGAUAAAGAAGGGAGAUGGGGCACUUGCAUUAACCCUGGCUCGUAAUUCAAGAAAAGGGGGGAGACAUUCAGUGACAUUGAAAGGCAGCAAAUUUAAAACUAGUAAGAGGAAAUGCUUUUUCUUAUGUCAGUCUGUGGAACUCUCUGCCACUGGAUACAAAGGCCAAGAGCUUAUCUGAUUUCAGAUAAGGAUCAGAUGUUAAUAUGGAUAAUAAGAAGUGAUGAAUACGGUGAUAGAUGCUAUAACAUUCUCUAGGUCACAGAACCUCCCAACAGAUGUAUGUAGGCUGAAACGAGCACUUGCACUAUAACUGCACUCCAUGUGAAAGUAUCUACAUACCUACAGGGCACGUAGUGCUUUCACACACUGCUCUUAUAAUAGCUAUGUUGUCACAGGCUGGUGUGGAUGGAUGCACAGGCGUGGAGGUGCUGACUCUUGUCAUUUUAGAAUACAUUUUAGGUAAAGCUGAUGGUGAUACCUAGAGUUAAGGUUGCCCAGCAUACUUCCUAUUAUAAGAUCUUGUUUUCUGUUGCUUCUAACUUUGCCAAACGUUAACCAUUUGGGCUGAAUUUCUCCAUACCAGGUGUCUACCUCAGCUGAAUUUUACUGGAAAAUUACAGCAAAAAUGGCUUUUCUGAGGAGGAAAAAUUGGCUGUUUUGCCCAUGUUACAACAAAUUCUUGCAGCUGAUUUCUUGAGAAGCUCUCGCACGUCCAUGUUUUGAAGCAGGAACUUGAAAUUUGAGAGAGGGUUUGCCUUGGGGAUAGAGAUGUACCUUUUACUUCCUUGUGGGAAAAACAGCCCACGUUUGGUCAAGGUACAAGCCUAUGAAAAAAAUCUGAGUCUGCGUAUGCCCAAUAGCCUUGUUAGAGCUUUGCAGCUAAAUUCUCUGAAGAUUUUGCUCCAACAGAGAUACUGGGGCUGAUAAGGACUUCUCUGCAAUUGCUGCUCCAGGUUCCAGCAGCACUGGCAUGAGAACGGACAGCAGGGAGACUUGUGUUCUGUGCCCUCAGUGCACCCAGUGCUGUGCCCAGGCAGCAUGGAGGAGGAGGAAAACUGAAAUGCAGAGUGGACAAGAGCUGGAUGGGGAAAGACUGGGAUAAGGAACAUGGAUGAGAGGGGAAGACAGUUUGGAAGCUGGGGAGAUAUUAGGACUGGCUGGGCAAGGGGACUGGGAUGCAGAUGGUAAUUUCAGAAGGGAGCCUGAGAUAGGCUCGAAGGAGACUGAACAUGGGAUGAAGGGGUAGAAUUGGGAAGAAGAUCCGGGGGAAGGAGAAGACAGAACGAGAAGUUUAGGGUGGAGACAGGGUUGGCACAGGAUCAAGCUGGAGGUGGCAAAGGUAGAAGGGGUGUUGUAUUAAUUCAGAUGGAAUAAAUGGCCCAGAGGUGUUGAGCGAGUCCCUGUCCAAUAUUAAACUGUUACAACGAGAUUUGGGGUUUAGUAGACAGACACCACAGCUUGCUUAGUACUGCUGCAAACACACUAAUAAAGAGUUAACAUGAAUUUUCAUAAAGACACAGAAAAGAAGGAAAAGCAAUUAAAGGCUUUGAAAUGUAAAGUAUUAAAUAAGGCCUCCAUUUAAACAACAUUUCUUAUUGCCUUUCCCUUGAGCUGGAGAGAGAUUUUUAGAAGGAAACCCCCCCUUGUUUUACAGGCUGACAAAGACAUGAGUUGAGAUGAGCAGGCGUUGUUGUAGCUGCUGCUGUUAAAGUCUGAUCCCCUUUCGUGUCAGGUGGUGGUUGGGGUUAGCUGGAGCCAGUAGAGGUGGCAAUGUUAUCUGAAUCUUGCUUUCUGGCCCAGUCUGGUCAGAUCAUCUCCUAGGAUUAGGACAAAGAAGAUCUGGAGUGCAAGGAGCUGUAGACACUGACAGCAAUGAUGGUGAAGUUGUUUCAGUUGCUUCCAUCUGUUUUUCCUCUUCCCCCUCUCCCCACGAAUCUCUUUAAGACCUAAAAAGGGAGUGAUGGGUGGAUAGCCCACCCCUUUAUUAUUUUGUCCACCAAUUAGGCCUAAUAGCCAAUACAGCCAUUUUUGGUCAUUAAUUUCUGGUUCCACAUCUUCUGUUUUUACCAAGCAUGAUUUUAACGUAGUCCUUGAGUUGUAUCAACUUGACCUUUUUGUUUGCAUUAAUUUAGUGUGUCUGCCUGGUUUUCUUGCACCUGGUUAUAACACUCAGAAUUGAAAGCAACUUGACCUAUUUUCCAAUAACAUUUGUUCUUACAGGUUAUUGUAUUUGAUAAAUGUUACAGACUUUUUAUAGUUGAGCUCACAAUUAGGAUACAUUUGUCAACCCAAUUAUUACAACAGGGGUCAGGCUUGGGACCAAAGGGGCAGAAGGGCCCGUGACUGUUGGAAUCACUUUCCCAUCAAAACCGGGAAUGGAGUCCAAGAUUCCUGAGUCUCAAAAUUCUUCUGCUCUCAGCAAAUGUCUGUGAAAUGCACGGGCAAGACUGAUAACAUACAAAAAUUCUAUAUUCAACAUUAUCCUAACCGAUAAAAAGGACCUAAUCACAGAAUUAAAAAUUAAUGGUAGCUUAAGUACAAAUGAUCAUGACUUGAUCACAUUUCUAGUUUGCAAGCAGAACGAAGUCCAGGAGCAAUAAUAUAUUGAGGCUUUAAUAGGGCCAAUUUCACAAAGCUGAAAAUAAUUAAGCCAAAUCAGCUGUGAGGAAAAAUUUAAUCAGAAAAAUGUCAAUGAUAAUUGGCAGUCAUUUAAGACCACAUUACUAGCUGCCCAAAAAGCCACAAUUGAGGAAGAAGGCUUUGCCGGUUUAAAAAAAACAAAACGGUUUAGAGAGAAAGUGAAAGCAGCUGUAAAAAGGUGUGUGUGUGUGUGUAAGCGUAAAUGGAAGAAAGGGUAAGUAGUUACUAUAAAUCAGAAGUUAGGAAUUGUAGAACGUUGAUAAGGAGAGCCAAGGGUAUAAGGAGAAAUCUAUGGCCAGCAGAGUUAAGGACAAUAAGGAGUUUUUAAAAAUAAACUAGGCACAAAGUGAAUCCUGAUAAUGAUAUUGUCCAUUACUAGAUGGAAAUAGUAGAAUUAUCAAUAAUAAUACAGAAAAGGCUGAAGUGUUCAAUAAAUAUUUCUGUUCUUUAUGGGGGGAGGGGAGGAGAAACAGAUGAUGCAGGCUCAUCAUAUGGUGAUAACAUACUUUCCAUUCUAGUCUCGCUGGAUGGUGUUAAACAGCAGUUACUAAAAUCAGACAUUUUUAAAUCAGACCCAGAUAACUUGCAUCCUAGAGUUUUAAAAGAGCUGACUGAGGAGCUUGCUGGACUAUUAAUGUUGAUUUUCAACAAGCGUUGGAGAAGUUCUGGGAGACUGGAAGAAACCUGAAGUUGUGCUAAUUUUUAAAAAGGUUAAAUGUGAUGAUGCAGGUAUUUACAGGCCUGUCAGCCUGAUAUCAAUCCCAGGCAAGAUAAUGGAGGGCUGAUAUGGACUUGAUUAAUAAGAACUAAAAGAAGAUAAUGUAAUUAAUAUAAAUCAACAUGCAUUUAUGGAAAAUCAAUCCUAUCAAACUACCUUGAUCUCUUUUUUAAAAAUGAGAUCACACAAGUUUGGUUGAUAAAGGUAAUAUGGUUGAUGUAACAUACUUCUGUAAGGUGUAUGACUAGUUAUGACACAAUGUUUUGAUUAAAAAAAAUAGAAUGAUGUAAAAUUAA